rnacentral:rRNA from 1 species
UCGGGAAUUUUGGGCAAUGGGCGAAAGCCUGACCCAGCAACGCCGCGUGAAGGAUGAAGUAUUUCGGUAUGUAAACUUCGAAAGAAUAGGAAGAAUAAAUGACGGUACUAUUUAUAAGGUCCGGCUAACUACGUGCCAGCAGCCGCGGUAAUACGUAGGGACCAAGCGUUGUUCGGAUUUACUGGGCGUAAAGGGCGCGUAGGCGGCAUGACAAGUCACUUGUGAAAUCUCCGGGCUUAACUCGGAACGGCCAAGUGAUACUGUCACGCUAGAGUAUUGGAGGGGCAAUCGGAAUUCUUGGUGUAGCGGUGAAAUGCGUAGAUAUCAAGAGGAACACCUGAGGUGAAGACGAGUUGCUGGGCUGAUACUGACGCUGAGGCGCGAAAGCUAGGGUAGCAAACGGGAUUAGAUACCCCCGUAGUCCCUGAGCGGGCUGGCAAGGCGCAU